GGGACCAGGUCAUUGAGGAGAUAGGCAGGAAACCAGUCUCUUCUAAAAAUAGCCAUAUUGCCCGCGCUCGGAACGGAAAAUCUGGUGGUUUUUCAUUUUAGUUUCAUCCCGAAGCCGAGAGGUCGUACAUUGUGAUGGCACUUGAGCUGAACACCAUAACAUCCAAACUUUAUUGAUGGAAGUUGAAAGCAAUCUACAAAAUCCUUUUUCUAUCACUAAAACAAAUGGAAUCUUUUGAAGGGAUUUGCUGGAAACAGGAGAUCUCUUACUGAUACCUUGGAAUCAGGUGAUUUUAAGGAAGAACCCACCCAUUAAUGGAAUCUUGGAAAUAGGUGAUCUCAUGAAUGAGCUCGUUAUUGGAACCCUGGAAUCUGUUGAUCUGAUGAAAAAAACGUUAUUGGAACCCCAGAAACAGGUGAUCUAAUGAAAGAAUGUGUUACUGGAACCCUGGAAACUGGUGAUCUCAUGAA